rnacentral:rRNA from 1 species
UACGUAGGGGGCUAGCGUUGUCCGGAAUCAUUGGGCGUAAAGCGCGUGUAGGCGGUUCGGUAAGUCCGCUGUGAAAGUCGGGGGCUCAACCCUGGGAUGCCGGUGGAUACUGUCGGGCUAGAGUACGGAAGAGGCGAGUGGAAUUCCCGGUGUAGCGGUGAAAUGCGCAGAUAUCGGGAGGAACACCAAUGCGAAGGCAGCUCGCUGGGACGUACUGACGCUGAGGAGCGAAAGCGUGGG